rnacentral:rRNA from 1 species
CCUACGGGUGGCAGCAGUGAGGAAUAUUGGUCAAUGGACGAAAGUCUGAACCAGCCAAGUAGCGUGAAGGAUGACGGCCCCAUGGGUUGUAAACUUCUUUUAUCAAGGGAUAAAAUGAGGCACGUGUGCCUUUUUGAAGGUACUUUAUGAAUAAGCAUCGGCUAACUCCGUGCCAGCAGCCGCGGUAAUACGGAGGAUCCGAGCGUUAUCCGGAUUUAUUGGGUUUAAAGGGAGCGUAGGCCGGUUGUUAAGUCAGCCGUGAAAGGUCGGGGCUCAACCCUGGGAGUGCGGUUGAAACUGGCUGGCUUGAGAGCACGAGAGGUAUGCGGAAUUCGUGGUGUAGCGGUGAAAUGCUUAGAUAUCACGAAGAACCCCGAUUGCGAAGGCAGCAUACUGGAGGGGGACUGACGCUGAGGCUCGAAAGCGUGGGUAUCGAACAGGAUUAGAUACCCUAGUAGUC